GUGGGGAAUCUUCCGCAAUGGACGAAAGUCUGACGGAGCGACGCCGCGUGAGUGAAGAAGGCCUUCGGGUCGUAAAGUUCUGUCAUCAGGGACGAACGGCCGGUGGAGUGGAAAGCCACCGGAUUGACGGUACCUGAGAAGGAAGCCACGGCUAACUACGUGCCAGCAGCCGCGGUAAUACGUAGGUGGCAAGCGUUGUCCGGAAUUAUUGGGCGUAAAGCGCGCGCAGGUGGGAUCUUAAGUCCAUUUUUAAAGUUCGGAGCUCAACUCCGUGAUGGGAUGGAAACUGGGAUUCUUGAGUACCGGGGAGGAAAGCGGAAUUCCCCGUGUAGCGGUGAAAUGCGUAGAUAUGGGGAGGAACACCAGUGGCGAAGGCGGCUUUCUGGACGAAAACUGACGCUGAGGCGCGAAAGCCAGGGGAGCGAACGGGAUUAGAAACCCUGGUAGUCC
rnacentral:rRNA from 1 species